UACGUAGGGUGCGAGCGUUAAUCGGAAUUACUGGGCGUAAAGCGUGCGCAGGCGGUUCGUUGUGUCGGUGGUGAAAGCCCCGGGCUUAACCUGGGAAUGGCCAUGGAAACUGGCGAACUGGAGUGUGGCAGAGGGGGGUGGAAUUCCGGGUGGAGUGGUGAAAUGCGUAGAGAUCCGGAGGAACACCGAAGGCGUAGGCAGUCUCCUGGGCCGCAGCUGACGCUGAGGGGCGAAAGCCAGGGGAGCGAACGGG
rnacentral:rRNA from 1 species